GACGAACGCUGGCGGCGUGCUUAACACAUGCAAGUCGAACGGAAAGGCCCUGCUUUUUUGGGGUGCUCGAGUGGCGAACGGGUGAGUAACACGUGAGUAACCUGCCCUUGACUUUGGGAUAUCUUCAGGCAACUGGGGCUAAUACCGGCUAGGAGCUCCUGCUGCUUGGUGGGGGUUGGAACGUUUAGGCGGUUGGUGAUGGACUCGCGGCUUAUCAGCUUGUUGGUGGGGUAGUGGCUUACCAAGGCUUUGACGGGUAGCCGGCCUGAGAGGGUGACCGGCGACAUUGGGACUGAGAUAAGGCACAGACUCGUAUGGGAGGCAACGGUGGGGAGUAUUACACAGUGGGGGGGAGCCUGAUGCGACAACGCAGCGUGCGGGAUGACGGCCUUGGGGUUGUGAAGCGCAGUCGCUUGAGACGAAGCGUGAGUGACGGUAAUGGGUGAAGAAGCACCGGCUAACUACGUG
rnacentral:rRNA from 1 species